CCAACUCUCACCCAGUGGCAUUAAUUUCUCGCUGGGGCCUCCAUUAUGUUGUACCCGGGGUGUUAGAGAAAACGCCACACUUUGAGACGAAUUAAGAGUCCUUUAUUAG
rnacentral:pre_miRNA from 13 species